ensembl:snRNA U12 U12 minor spliceosomal RNA
AUGUCUUAAACUAAUGAGUGAGGAAAAUAACAAACCAGGGUAACAUCUGGUUCUGCACUGCUAAUGUGGGAUGAAUUUUUGAGCAGGUCGUCCCUUGCAGGAUCUACCUACUUUCUGGGACCUCUAGUUGCAGUGAUCUGCUCG